GAUGAACGCUGGCGGCGUGCCUAAUACAUGCAAGUCGAGCGAACAGACGAGGAGCUUGCUCCUCUGACGUUAGCGGCGGACGGGUGAGUAACACGUGGAUAACCUACCUAUAAGACUGGGAUAACUUCGGGAAACCGGAGCAAAUACCGGAUAAUAUAUUGAACCGCAUGGUUCAAUAGUGAAAGACGGUUUUGCUGUCACUUAUAGAUGGAUCCGCGCCGCAUUAGCUAGUUGGUAAGGUAACGGCUUACCAAGGCAACGAUGCGUAGCCGACCUGAGAGGGUGAUCGGCCACACUGGAACUGAGACACGGUCCAGACUCCUACGGGAGGCAGCAGUAGGGAAUCUUCCGCAAUGGGCGAAAGCCUGACGGAGCAACGCCGCGUGAGUGAUGAAGGUCUUCGGAUCGUAAAACUCUGUUAUUAGGGAAGAACAAAUGUGUAAGUAACUAUGCACGUCUUGACGGUACCUAAUCAGAAAGCCACGGCUAACUACGUG
rnacentral:rRNA from 1 species